rnacentral:rRNA from 1 species
GCUCCGUGAUUACCUUCACCACACUGUGUGGGCGCACAAAACACCUAAACCUGGAGUAUACACACGUCAACAAAAGAUCUAAAAGAAUAAAACUUUCAACAACGGAUCUCUUGGUUCUCGCAUCGAUGAAGAGCGCAGCGAAAUGCGAUACCUAGUGUGAAUUGCAGCCAUCGUGAAUCAUCGAGUUCUUGAACGCACAUUGCGCCCGUCGGUAUUCCGGCGGGCAUGCCUGUCUGAGCGUCGUUUCCUUCUUGUGCACCGCGGGGUCUUUGCAGAUCCUCUCUGCGCAGAGCUGGCCGUGCCACUGGCCCGGCCGAAAAGAAACGUUGCGGACGAAGCGAACUACAUCGGGACGCUUUGGCCGCCGAGCGAAAAAAAAACACCAUUGAGCUCGACCUCAAAUCAGGUAGGAGUACCCGCUGAACUUAAGCAUAAAAAUGAACCUUUGCUUAACCUUUUACUGAAGCUGUGUCGAAUAAUAGAUAUACCCGCUGAACUUGAUCAUAAUGCUAUG